rnacentral:rRNA from 1 species
AUAGCUCAUUACAACAGCCAUCGUUUACUAGAAAAUAUUUAUCCUACUUGGAUAACUGUGGCAAUUCUAGAGCUAAUACAUGCAAAAAAGCUCAGACUGAAAGGAAUGAGCGCAUUUAUUAGAAUAAAAACCAAUCGGGUCUAAAAGCCCGCUGUUUGGUGAAUCUGAAUAACUUUGCUGAUCGCACGGUCUAGUACCGGCGACGUAUCUUUCAAGUGUCUGCCUUAUCAACUUUCGAUGGUAGGUUAUACGCCUACCAUGGUAGUAACGGGUAACGGAGAAUAAGGGUUCGACUCCGGAGAGGGAGCCUGAGAAACGGCUACCACAUCCAAGGAAGGCAGCAGGCGCGCAAAUUACCCACUUCCAGAACGGAGAGGUAGUGACGAAAAAUAACGAGACAGUCCUCUCUGAGGUCUGUCAUCGGAAUGGGUACAAUUUAAAUCCUUUAACGAGGAUCUAUUGGAGGGCAAGUCUGGUGCCAGCAGCCGCGGUAAUUCCAGCUCCAAUAGCGUAUAUUAAAGUUGUUGCGGUUAAAACGCUCGUAGUUGAAUCUGCGGCCUGGGAGAAUGGACCCCCGAAAGGGUGGUAACUGUUACUCCUAGCCUAAAUUUUUAGUCUACUCUAUGGUGCCUUUAACCGGGUGCUUAGAGUGACUGGAACGUUUACUUUGAAAAAAUUAGAGUGCUUAAAGCAGGCGAAUUUGCCUGAAUAAGGUGCAUGGAAUAAUGGAAUAGGACCUCGGUUCUAUUUUGUUGGUUUUCGGAGCCUGAGGUAAUGAUUAAGAGGAACAGACGGGGGCAUUCGUAUUCCGGCGCUAGAGGUGAAAUUCUUGGACCGCCGGAAGACGGACGACUGCGAAAGCAUUUGCCAAGAAUGUUUUCAUUAAUCAAGAACGAAAGUUAGAGGUUCGAAGGCGAUCAGAUACCGCCCUAGUUCUAACCGUAAACGAUGACAACCAGCGAUUAGUCGGCGUUAAUAUAUGACCCGACUAGCAGCUUCCGGGAAACCAAAGUUUUUCGUUUCCGGGGGAAGUAUGGUUGCAAAGCUGAAACUUAAAGGAAUUGACGGAAGGGCACCACCAGGAGUGGAGCCUGCGGCUUAAUUUGACUCAACACGGGAAAACUCACCCGGCCCGGACACCGUAAGGAUUGACAGACUGAGAGCUCUUUCUUAAUUCGGUGGGUGGUGGUGCAUGGCCGUUCUUAGUUGGUGGAGCGAUUUGUCUGGUUAAUUCCGAUAACGAACGAGACUCUGGCCUAUUAAAUAGCCGGUAUAUAUUGAAAAGUUUGCCGCGCUUCUUAGAGGGACAACCGGCGUCUAGCCGCGUGAAAUAGAGCAAUAACAGGUCUGUGAUGCCCUUAGAUGUCCGGGGCUGCACGCGCGCUACACUGAAAGAAUCAGUAUGCGCAUUCGCCUAGUUCGGAAGAACCGGGUAACCCUAGCAAAUUCUUUCGUGCUUGGGAUAGGGAAUUGCAAUUAUUUCCCUUGAACGAGGAAUUCCCAGUAAAUGCGGGUCAUAAGCUCGCGUUGAUUACGUCCCUGCCCUUUGUACACACCGCCCGUCGCUACUACCGAUUGGAUGACUUAGUGAGGUCUUAGGACCGAGGUGAUGGAGCUUUCAUUAGUUCUUUUGCUUUGGAAAUUUGAUCGAACUACGUUAUCUAGAGGAAGUAAAAGUCGUAACAAGGUUUCCGUAGGUGAACCUGCGGAAGGAUCAUUAACGAGCUAAAUCGAAUAUAUACACGCCCGUAUACUGGAUGGGAGAAGCGGUAGGCGCCUGAUCUGCGCAAAGUCCGUCCAUCUUCGGUUAGUGGGGCUAAUUACUAGAGAUAUGAAUCUAUCGGUGGAGUUUCUCCUUGGAAAGGGGGGUUUCUGGACUACGACUCUGAUUCGGCUUUCUUAUCGCGAUACCGCGUGGGUGUGUCGGUUGUAGUCAGGCUACCCGAUCUCCCGGCGUUGCGGUGCGAUUCGAAGGUGCGCGGGGGCUUCCCGCCGUCGAGGUAAAUGGAGUCGUCUGUUCGGGGACCCGUUUGGGGAAGGGCUGCCGUUUAUCGUCUAGUAUCAGACGUUUGGAAUUAAGUUUUCAAAGAGCGCGGGGAAAAUGUAUACCGCUCUCUUCGAACGCUGAGUUCUUCUUCGGGUACCUAUCAGCUCUGCUUACGCUACAGUUCCGUCUGGCUGUAAAGAAACGCGUCGGAGCUGGAAUCCUUACUCCCUUCGUACUCGAUACUUGGCCGUAUUGAGGGAAAAAGAGACGGAGAGAAGGUGAGGUUCAAAGAGUCGUCGGCUCCUGGACUCGGUUCCCGGCUAAGGCCGGGCGCUGAGGGAUCUGCCGUUGGAGCGGCUGCUUUAGAACUGGGAAUACGUACGAUAAUGUGCGUUGGUUCUGAGCAGUUCGGGGCGCCUGCUUAGGCGGGUGUUCGGGCGACCGCCCGAAAUCCAAACCUAUACGUUUUAAAAUAAAGCUGGUUU